UACGUAGGUGGCAAGCGUUGUCCGGAAUUAUUGGGCGUAAAGCGCGCGCAGGCGGUCCUUUAAGUCUGAUGUGAAAGCCCACGGCUCAACCGUGGAGGGUCAUUGGAAACUGGGGGACUUGAGUGCAGGAGAGAAGAGUGGAAUUCCACGUGUAGCGGUGAAAUGCGUAGAGAUGUGGAGGAACACCGGUGGCGAAGGCGGCGUUCUGGACUGUAACUGACACUGAGGAACGAAAGCCAGGGGAGCAAACGGG
rnacentral:rRNA from 1 species